rnacentral:rRNA from 1 species
UAAGCUUGAAUCCUUUUGACCGAUGCCUAAUCGCAUCUUUCCCUUCGGGGACAGAAGUGACAGGUGGUGCAUGGUUGUCGUCAGCUCGUGUCGUGAGAUGUUGGGUUAAAUCCCGCAACGAGCGCAACCCUUGCCUUUAGUUGCCAUCAUUAAGUUGGGCACUCUAGAGGGACUGCCAGGGAUAACCUGGAGGAAGGUGGGGAUGACGUCAAAUCAUCAUGCCCCUUAUGCUUAGGGCUACACACGUGCUACAAUGGAUGGUACAACGAGCAGCGAACUCGCGAGGGUAAGCGAAUCUCUUAAAGCCAUUCUCAGUUCGGAUUGUAGGCUGCAACUCGCCUACAUGAAGCCGGAAUCGCUAGUAAUCGCGGAUCAGCACGCCGCGGUGAAUACGUUCCCGGGUCUUGUACACACCG